UCUGGUAGCUUUCCAAGCAGAAAGGUCGAGUAGGCAGUUGGAUUCAUGGGUUGAGUUCAGGAGAGGUGUUCUGGAGAACAGUGAGUCACUGGCAUUUAGAUGGCACUUAAAGCCAAUGGACUGUGUAAGGUCACCAAGGCUGAGGGGAGAGAGAAAAGAAGACAACCAAGGAAUGAGCUCCAGGAUCACUAAGGAGAAGAGAAGGAAGGGACUAGCAAAGAAAUUAAGAAGGAACUGCCUAGUGAGGUAAGAGGAAAGGGGGGGAAAAGUGUUUUCAUGAGAGCCAUGUGAGGAGAGACCGUGAUCAGCUGGGUCAAAUACUUCUGCCAAUAGGUUGGGUCUCCGGGAUAACCUACAAAUUUGCCCUUAAAGAAUGCGAUGUAGAAGCAUGAAGAAUAGUAGUUGACAAACUGGAAUAAGAACAUCUUCAUGGUCAGGCUGUUCUCAUAAUCAGUCUGGGUCCUUGGGAGUUCUGCAGUUAAAUAAAGGUCUACUGUCAGAGUUGAGACCUGCUGGAGUAGACAGCAGAGAGAGGCCGGCCUCUUGUCCUGCAGACCACAUGUGGGCAGCCAGAGGUGCGGGAGGAAAUCCUGGGCUGUGGCUGUGAGCAGCGUGAACGCGGCACUCCCCAGUGGUGAAGACAGCUGAAAUGGGGUCCAGGGAAGACACUGAUCAUGUACUAUAACCACCCAAGGUUUUAGCCUGCGCCUGGACCACAUCACUGCUGACUCACGCUGCUGUGUGUCACAGCCUGGGAGCCCCAGGACCUCGGGGGACUCUGCACGAGCCCAGACAGGAAUUUCCUGUUCUGGGUCUUUUGAUCUUUCUCCCUCUGGUGGGGAGCCCUGCAUUUAUGUUCUCCGGCAAACCACACACACCACGAGGCUCUUGUUGAUUAGAGAGACACAGUUAGGACUCUUACAUCAACAUGUAAUGAGAGAAGAGGGAAAGCUGCCUAGGAUCUUGGGAAUCAAGAACAGCUUGUCCUCUUAAUCAUGGUAUCAUUUCCUGUAAAGGACGUAUGCAUCACAUGAAGACAGCCACAUUCAGUGUUGGCGCUUAUAUCCAGCAAUGUCCAAGGACAAGGGGCACAUUCUAGCACAUGGUAGUGUUCCAGUUGCUGUAAGUCUGCUGCUGGAGAGCUGGGGCAUUUUACUGGGCCUUGAUUAUUCAACCCUCUUUACUCACAAAGCUAAGUAAGGAUGGCAGGUGAGCUUGCUCAGCCUUUAUUCCAACUUCCCAACUAAAAGACUAGGUUAAGGGACCCCUGGGUGGCUCAGCAGUUGAACAUCUGCCUUUGGCUCAGGGUGUGAUCCUGGGGUCCCAGAUCAAGUACCACAUUGGGCUCUCUGUGGGGAGCCUGCUUCUCCCUCUGCCUAUGUCUCUGUGUCUCUCAUGAAUAAAUAAAAUCUUUUUUUCUUUUUUUAAAGACUAGGCUAAAAAAAGAUAAUUUUUUUUCAGCCUCUCUUGAAGCUAGGGCCCCCUAAUGUGAUUUUAUAAAUGUCCAACAGAUGCAUUUGUGUGUCACUUAAAUCAGAACCUGAGGUGAGUGGUGGCAGAGGUGGUUGCAGGAGUUGCAUUAUUUUGCUGGUGUGGAUGGUGGUGGGAGCAGUAUAGUUCUGGAACUGGCAAUAGCUGUUUCCUGAUUUCCAAGUGUAGCUGGUUAGGGCACCGCCCUUCCUGAUUCCCCAGCUCUCCAUAAGCCAAGGGCUUGGUGUUUUCCUGGAAAUAACUAGGCCCAGCCCAGAACUCAAAGGUGAAAAUUUAAAAUGCAGCCAUGCAGCCAAGAGCCUGGAGCCAGGGAGGAUCCAGAAGUAGGUAAGAAGUAACAAGGAAUAAGGAGAAGUGGAUAUGUUAAGGACUGGCACUUUAGCCUUGGGUUGAUGUUUAGGAUUUGAGUGUAUGAAUGGGUGGCCUGGCUUGGCCUAAAAGGGUGGACAUUAUUCAGGCAAGUACAUGAUUUUUACUACAUUCAUUAAAAAAGGUUUUCAACCCUAAACUUUUAGAGUUCCUAGGGAGUAGAAAAAUACUAGGAAUACUCUAAAUACUCUAACAGAUCUGGGCACACAAGAGAUGCUACAAGAAUAUGAAUGGUCGUGAUAUAAAAGACUUCACAUGAUCCUCCUGCCUCUUCAGCCUGUGAUUUCUGAUUUUCUGUAACAAGGUUCACAGCAGUGGUUCUCAUAAGGCAGACAUAACAGGAAAGGCAAUGAAUAUAAGACACUUCAAAUACAGACUUCAUCAUACAUACAUAUCCUUAAAGAUACACAUAUGGUGCUUCAAGCAGUGUUGAAAUGUUUUCUGCAUUCUAAAAUCUGAUGACAUCAAAUCAGCUGAAAAUGCUUAAGUCAGUUCCAUAAACACGAUGUAGUUAAUGAUCAUAGAAAGCAAGGUUAGCUAGGAAAUGGAAGGUUUGUCUUUCCAAUACCAAAAUUAAUUUAUAUUUUUGCCUUAUUUAAAAUGUAUUUCGGGGUGCCUGGAUGGCCUCUGACACCUGAUUUUGAUUUAGGUUGUGAUCUCAGGUUUGUGGGAUUGAGCCCUGGGUCUGACUCCCCACUCAGCAUAGAGUCUCUGCUUGUCCCUCUCCCUCUGCUUCUCCCCACCUGCUUGUGCUCUCUCUCUCUAAAGUGAAUAAAUACAAUCCUAAAACAAAUGUAUUUCUAAAUUAGGACGUGUUAGAAUUUUAUACAUUAUAAAUCAGUGCUGAGACAAAGGUUAGGAGAAUAGAUAGAAGUGACCACCACCCAUGUGUUUGGUACUUGGGCCCUUACUGGGGGGGAGAAAUGAAAUGACAUAUUUUACGAUAGAGGAGUACAGAGGAUUUUAAUCCAAGAAUUUGAUCUUUAUUCUUCUGUGUGUCAAAUAUUAGCUAGUGUUUGGUAUCUAGCAAGAACAUAGCUAAAUGUCUGAAGGACAAUAACUUUGUAGAUAAGUGUGACCAUCUUAUAGUUCGCUUUAUCCAGGAAUGGCAACUAAACUCUAAAAAGUGUCCAGAACAGCUGGAUCAUCUGUUCUGUGAUCUAUCUGGUAACCUCAAAUAAGCACAACCACUGCAAAAGAGAAACAAUCUCAAGGACACCUAAAAAGAACCGUGAGCUGCAUGUGUUCAUGUGCUGUCUUCUCAAGAAUAAGAGACUUGAGUCACUUUCUUCCCCCACCUAUCUAUGGCCUCAGCUUUAUUUCCUGCUUGACCUACACAAUA